GUGCCAGCCGCCGCGGUAAUACAGAGGUGGCAAGCGUUGUUCGGAAUUACUGGGCGUAAAGGGCGCGUAGGCGGCCCGCCAAGUCCCGUGUGAAAGCCCCCGGCUCAACCGGGGAACGGCGCGGGAAACUAGCAGGCUUGAGUUCGGGAGAGGGAAGCGGAAUUCCGGGUGUAGCGGUGAAAUGCGCAGAUAUCCGGAGGAACACCGGUGGCGAAGGCGGCUUCCUGGACCGACACUGACGCUGAGGCGCGAAAGCUAGGGGAGCAAACGGGAUUAGAUACCCCGGUAGUCCUAGCCCUAAACGAUGAGCACUGGGUGUAGAGGGUAUGAACCCCUUCUGUGCCGAAGCUAACGCAUUAAGUGCUCCGCCUGGGGAGUACGGUCGCAAGGCUGAA
rnacentral:rRNA from 1 species